AACGAACGCUGGCGGCAGGCCUAACACAUGCAAGUCGAGCGAGGACUUCGGUUCUAGCGGCGGACGGGUGAGUAACGCGUGGGAAUGUGCCCUUCUCUACGGAAUAGCCCUGGGAAACUGGGAGUAAUACCGUAUACGCCCUAUUGGGGAAAGAUUUAUCGGAAAAGGAUCAGCCCGCGUUGGAUUAGGUAGUUGGUGGGGUAAUGGCCUACCAAGCCGACGAUCCAUAGCUGGUUUGAGAGGAUGAUCAGCCACACUGGGACUGAGACACGGCCCAGACUCCUACGGGAGGCAGCAGUGGGGAAUCUUAGACAAUGGGGGCAACCCUGAUCUAGCCAUGCCGCGUGAGUGAUGAAGGCCUUAGGGUUGUAAAGCUCUUUCAGCUGGGAAGAUAAUGACGGUACCAGCAGAAGAAGCCCCGGCUAACUCCGUG
rnacentral:rRNA from 1 species